AAUUUCAACUGAAAAGUCAUGAACAUAAAUGUUGUAGAGCUCAUCAAGACAUAUAAUUUUUAUUUUGGUCAUUUCUUCAUACGAUAAAGUGAUAGUAACACUGUUCACAAAGUUUACACAUCUCUCUUAUAGUUUAUAACACCGAAUGAGAGAGAUGAAAACUUUUUGAACAAUGUUACUAUCAUUUUAUCGGAUAAAUAAAUGAUCAAAAUAAAAGUUAUAGAUCUUGAUGAGUUAUACAACUUUGUUGUUGAUGACUUUUUCAGUUAAAAUU
rnacentral:pre_miRNA from 1 species